GAUUCCCGGGCCCUACGGGGCGCAGCAGGCGCGAAACCUUUACACUGCACGCCAGUGCGAUAAGGGGAUCCCGAGUGCACAGGCAUAGAGCCUGUGCUUUUCUGAACCGUAGGGAGGUUCAGGAACAAGAGCUGGGCAAGACCGGUGCCAGCCGCCGCGGUAAUACCGGCAGCUCGAGUGAUGGCCGAUCUUAUUGGGCCUAAAGCGUCCGUAGCUGGCCUUGCAAGUCCGUCGGGAAAUCCACCCGCUCAACGGGUGGGCGUCCGGCGGAAACUGUGAGGCUUGGGACCGGGAGGCUUGAAGGGUACGUCCGGGGUAGGAGUGAAAUCCCGUAAUCCUGGACGGACCGCCGAUGGGGAAACCACUUCAAGAGAACGGAUCCGACAGUGAGGGACGAAAGCUAGGGUCUCGAACCGGAUUAGAUACCCGGGUAGUCCUAGCUGUAAACGAUGCCUGUUAGGUGUGACUCCCACUACGAGUGGGUGUUGUGCCGUAGGGAAGCCGCUAAACAGGCCGCCUGGGAAGUACGUCUGCAAGGAUGAAACUUAAAGGAAUUGGCGGGGGAGCACUACAACCGGAGGAGCCUGCGGUUUAAUUGGACUCAACGCCGGACAUCUCACCAGCAUCGACUGUGGUAAUGACGGUCAGGUUGAUGACCUUACCCGAGCCACAGAGAGGAGGUGCAUGGCCGCCGUCAGCUCGUACCGUGAGGCGUCCUGUUAAGUCAGGCAACGAGCGAGACCCGCAUCCUUACUUGCCAGCAGCACCGUGAGGUGGCUGGGGACAGUAGGGAGACCGCCGUGGCUAACACGGAGGAAGGAACGGGCAACGGUAGGUCAGUAUGCCCCGAAUAUGCUGGGCAACACGCGGGCUACAAUGGCCGAGACAAUGGGUUCCAACGCCGAGAGGCGACGGUAAUCUCAGAAACUCGGUCGUAGUUCGGAUUGUGGACUGAAACUCGUCCACAUGAAGCUGGAUUCGGUAGUAAUCGC
rnacentral:rRNA from 1 species